rnacentral:ncRNA from 1 species
ACAGGGGCGCUGGAAGCACAGUUUCCGGCUGAGAUGCGAGACAGACACAGCGGUCUCCGGUCCCUUAAACCUGAUCCGGGUAAUGCCGGCGUAGGAAGUGGAAGAG